GGGGCAUUAUGUUUUCUGGUCUGUGCGUCCGUCCGUCCGUCUGUCCGUUCGUUCGUCCGUCCGUCCGUCUGUCCCGCUUCAGGUUAAAGUUUUUGGUCAAGGUAGCUUUUGAUGAAGUUUAAGUCCAAUCGACUUCAAACUUAGUACACAUGUCCCCUAUGAUAUGAUCUUUCUAAUUUUAAUGCCAAAUUAGAGUUUUUACCCCAAUUUCACGGUCCACUGAACAUGGAAAAUGAUAGUGCGAGUGGGCCAUUCGUGUACUGAGGACACAUUCUUGUUUUGAGAGGAUUAAUAUUCAACAGCAUAGUGAAUUGCUCUAAGAGAAAACAAAAUUUUAAGUUCAUUAGAACACAUUCAUUCUGUGUCAGAAACCUAUGCUGUGUCAACUAUUUAAUCACAAUCCAAAUUUAGAGCUGAAUCCAGCUUGAAUGUUGUGUCCAUACUUGCCCCAACCGUUCAGGGUUCAACCUCUGCGGUCGUAUAAAGCUAUGCCCUGCGGAGCAUCUGGUUUACUUCUACAUUGUUUUGUCUCUGAAGAAAAUUGACCAAGAU
rnacentral:lncRNA from 1 species